rnacentral:rRNA from 1 species
GAUGAACGCUAGCGGCAGGCCUAACACAUGCAAGUCGAGGGAGAAGCCCUUUCGGGGGAGGAAACGGCGCCCGGGGGCGGAAAGCGUAUGCCACCUUACUUUUACCAGGGGAUUAGCUGGAGAAAUUUGGAUUAAUACCCCAUAAUAUUUUUGGAUGGCAUCAUUUUGUUAUUAAAAAUUCGGUGGUGAAAGAUGGGCAUGCGUCCUAUUAGCUAGUUGGAGUGGUAACGGCACCCCAAGGCUACGAUAGGUAGGGGUCCUGAGAGGGAGAUCCCCCACACUGGUACUGAGACAGGGACCAGACUCCUACGGGAGGCAGCAGUGAGGAAUAUUGGUCAAUGGUCGGAAGACUGAACCAGCCAUGCCGCGUGCAGGAAGAAUGCCUUAUGGGUUGUAAACUGCUUUUAUAUGGGAAGAAUAAGGCGUACGUGUACGUUGAUGACGGUACCAUAUGAAUAAGCAUCGGCUAACUCCGUG